rnacentral:rRNA from 1 species
GACGAACGCUGGCGGCGUGCUUAACACAUGCAAGUCGAGCGGUAAGGCCCUUUCGGGGGUACACGAGCGGCGAACGGGUGAGUAACACGUGGGUGACCUGCCCUCAGCUCUGGGAUAAGCCUGGGAAACUGGGUCUAAUACCGGAUAUGACCCCAUGACGCAUGUCGUGGGGUGGAAAGCCUUGUGCGGCUGAGGAUGGGCCCGCGGCCUAUCAGCUUGUUGGUGGGGUGAUGGCCUACCAAGGCGACGACGGGUAGCCGGCCUGAGAGGGCGACCGGCCACACUGGGACUGAGACACGGCCCAGACUCCUACGGGAGGCAGCAGUGGGGAAUCUUGCGCAAUGGGCGAAAGCCUGACGCAGCGACGCCGCGUGAGGG